GAAGCUUGCUUCUUUGAUGACGAGUGGCGGACGGGUGAGUAAUGCUUGGGAAUCUGGCUUAUGGAGGGGGAUAACUACGGGAAACUGUAGCUAAUACCGCGUAAAAUCGAAAGAUGAAAGUGUGGGACCUUCGGGCCACAUGCCAUAGGAUGAGCCCAAGUGGGAUUAGGUAGUUGGUGAGGUAAAGGCUCACCAAGCCGACGAUCUCUAGCUGGUCUGAGAGGAUGACCAGCCACACUGGGACUGAGACACGGCCCAGACUCCUACGGGAGGCAGCAGUGGGGAAUAUUGCGCAAUGGGGGCAACCCUGACGCAGCCAUGCCGCGUGAAUGAAGAAGGCCUUCCGGUUGUAAAGUUCUUUCGGUAGCGAGGAAGGCAUUUAGUUUAAUAGACUAGGUGAUUGACGUUAACUACAGAAGAAGCACCGGCUAACUCCGUGCCAGCAGCCGCGGUAAUACGGAGGGUGCGAGCGUUAAUCGGAAUAACUGGGCGUAAAGGGCACGCAGGCGGUGACUUAAGUGAGGUGUGAAAGCCCCGGGCUUAACCUGGGAAUUGCAUUUCAUACUGGGUCGCUAGAGUACUUUAGGGAGGGGUAGAAUUCCACGUGUAGCGGUGAAAUGCGUAGAGAUGUGGAGGAAUACCGAAGGCGAAGGCAGCCCCUUGGGAAUGUACUGACGCUCAUGUGCGAAAGCGUGGGGAGCAAACAGGAUUA
rnacentral:rRNA from 1 species